GAUGAACGCUGGCGGCGUGCCUAAUACAUGCAAGUCGAGCGAACGGACGAGAAGCUUUCUUCUCUGAUGUUAGCGUCGGACGGGUGAGUAACACGUGGAUAACCUACCUAUAAGACUGGGAUAACUUCGUGAAACCGGAGCUAAUACCGGAUUAUAUUUUGAACCGCAUGGUUCAAAAGUGAAAGACGGUCUUGCUUUCACUUAUAGAUGGAUCCGCGCUGCAUUAGCUAGUUGGUAAGGUAACGGCUUACCAAGGCAACGAUGCAUAGCCGACCUGAGAGGGUGAUCGGCCACACUGGAACUGAGACACGGUCCAGACUCCUACGGGAGGCAGCAGUAGGGAAUCUUGCGCAAUGGGCGAAAGCCUGACGGAGCAACGCCGCGUGAGUGAUGAAGGUCUUCGGAUCGUAAAACUCUGUUAUUAGGGAAGAACAUAUGUGUAAGUAACUGUGCACAUCUUGACGGUACCUAAUCAGAAAGCAACGGCUAACUACGUG
rnacentral:rRNA from 1 species